ACAAAGAUCUCCUGAAGCUAUUAACUCGCGUGGUCAGAAAAAUCCCCCAAGCCCACGAGUUUCAAAAGAACCGUACAUGUCAUCUUCUUUGUCUGUCUCUUCUUCUUCAACGAGGAAGAAGCCUCCAAGAUCUCAUGAAGCUGCCAAUUCACGUGGUUACAACCAUACCCCAAGCCUGCGAGCUUCAAAAGAACCGUACAAGUCAUCUUCUUUAUCUGGUUCUUCUUCAACGAGGAAGAAGCCACCAAGAUCUCAUGAAGCUUCCAGUUCACGUGGUUACAAUCAUCCCCCAAGCCCGCGAGUUUCAAAAGAAUUGAACAAGACACCAUCUAUUUCUGGUUCUCCUUCUGCAACAAGGAAUAAAUCACCAAGAUCCUCAGAAAAUGUCAACUCAUGUGGUAAUUCAUCAUCCGGAGGCAAUUCUGUUGUCAAGAGAAAUACUGACACAAGCAUCAUAGUUUCCAAACAAGAAUCACCAAUAAAAACUCAGCUCGAUAUCAGUAAGGCUAAUAAGUUACUGGAAGAGGUGGUGACUCUACGGGAACAAGUUGGCGAAGAUGGUGAAGUGACAUAUCAGAUACCAAAGCAACAAUUUGAAGAUCUAAGCAAAGGGGUCCAUAAUGUUCUACAUGAUCUACAAUCUAUUAAAUUCGCAUUGAACAUACAAGAUAAUGAUGAUGCUUAGUUCUUGAUCUCUUAGAAUCUGACUACUAGACCUUUAAAAUCUUCAUCUUUUUUUGUUCCAACUCAUUCAAUAUAAAUACUUUGAAGUGGGAUCCAAAAGCUACACAAAAGGGUAGACACAGUAUAAUCUAAACAGUGCAAAAACUAAGACAAUGUUUGAGUUCUUACUAGCUUAAAGCCUGUAAAGAACCAUUCUUUUGAAACUACAAUCCUGUCAACUAAAGUCUGGAGCUUUACUGCUCGAAAACGGCUACAUUUACGCAUAACAAGCUGCACACUGCAUCAAAACAUGUCACAGAGACUUACUGUAAUGAUGAGUAACCAGGUUGGCUUGUUUGUGUCACCUUUUUACAACAAUCUCCUAUUGUUCUUACGAAUUUGGUGGCCACUCCUCAAGCAAUUAACCUCAAAAAUCUCCAAAAUCAAGACAAAGAAACCAAAAUGGUUGAAUCAAAGGUGGAGUAGAUCCACACAAGGAUCCAAAGCGUUAGCUAUCAGAAAGAUAAAACAGUGUUCUUCGUCAAAAUGUGUGAAGGUGAAGAGACUUGAGAGAGUUCAGAGUUAUAUUGUAUUAAACACGUGGCAUUUAUAAUUUCAGAUUUUGUUUUAUGAUAGAAAGAAAUAGAGAGUGAUUAGUUUACAUAAUAAUGAGCUAAUGACAAAUAAUAAAAAAUUCUUGAUGAGAAGAUCAGAUUCUCUCAAAUGCUCUCCCAUGUGACAUGUGUGGAGAUGAUGAAUUUAUUAAUCUUCCUUGUAUCAUUGACCUAUUAUUGCUCUCCUUUUCUCCUUAAAGGUUUCAUUUUUAACCCUCUUUAAGAAUUUUGUUUUGUUGAGGUUGAUCCAAAUUAUUUCUUUCUGGGGUAAAGUCUAGAUUUUUAUGUUCUUCUGAUCCAAAGUUUCUAUUUUUGUUAUCUGGGUUUUGUUCUGUUCUCAGUUUCGUCACGUUUUCCCCUUGAAAAAACCAAUUUUGUUUUUGAGUGAAGUUUCUAGCUACUCCUCUAUAGCUUUCAAACGUUGACCAAAUUUGUUUGUUCUCUCUCGUUUUCAUCGACGACUCUUGACUUUUCUGAGAAGUUGGGUUUAUCUUUUGAUCGAAAUCGACAAAAGAAGAAUCUGAUCUGCAAUUUCCUUACAGGGUAUAUAUAUAUACUCCUCUCUUUGGAUUAUGGGUUUGGAAUCUGUAGCUUUCUCUUGAUAGUGAAUGUUCUAUCUUGAUCAGGAA
rnacentral:lncRNA from 1 species